rnacentral:rRNA from 1 species
GACGAACGCUGGCGGCGUGCUUAACACAUGCAAGUCGAACGGAAAGGCCCUGCUUUUGUGGCAUGCUCGAGUGGCGAACGGGUGAGUAACACGUGAGUAACCUGCCCUUGUCUUUUGGAUAACUUCAGGAAACUGGGGUUAAUACCGGAUAGGAGCUCCUGCUGCAUGGUGGGGGUUGGACAUUUUCGGCGGUUGGGGAUGGACUCGCGGCUUAUCAGCUUGUUGGUGGGGUUGUGGCUUACCAAGGCUUUGACGGGUAGCCGGCCUGAGAGGGUGACCGGCCACAUUGGGACUGAGAUACGGCCCAGACUCCUACGGGAGGCAGCAGUGGGGAAUAUUGCACAAUGGGCGGAAGCCUGAUGCAGCAACGCCGCGUGCGGGAUGACGGCCUUCGGGUUGUAAACCGCUUUCGCCUGUGACGAAGCGUGAGUGACGGUAAUGGGUAAAGAAGCACCGGCUAACUACGUG